rnacentral:rRNA from 1 species
GAUGAACGCUGGCGGCGUGCCUAAUACAUGCAAGUCGAGCGAACGGACGAGAAGCUUGCUUCUCUGAUGUUAGCGGCGGACGGGUGAGUAACACGUGGAUAACCUACCUAUAAGACUGGGAUAACUUCGGGAAACCGGAGCUAAUACCGGAUAAUAUUUUGAACCGCAUGGUUCAAAAGUGAAAGACGGUCUUGCUGUCACUUAUAGAUGGAUCCGCGCUGCAUUAGCUAGUUGGUAAGGUAACGGCUUACCAAGGCAACGAUGCAUAGCCGACCUGAGAGGGUGAUCGGCCACACUGGAACUGAGACACGGUCCAGACUCCUACGGGAGGCAGCAGUAGGGAAUCUUCCGCAAUGGGCGAAAGCCUGACGGAGCAACGCCGCGUGAGUGAUGAAGGUCUUCGGAUCGUAAAACUCUGUUAUUAGGGAAGAACAUAUGUGUAAGUAACUGUGCACAUCUUGACGGUACCUAAUCAGAAAGCCACGGCUAACUACGUGCCAGCAGCCGCGGUAAUACGUAGGUGGCAAGCGUUAUCCGGAAUUAUUGGGCGUAAAGCGCGCGUAGGCGGUUUUUUAAGUCUGAUGUGAAAGCCCACGGCUCAACCGUGGAGGGUCAUUGGAAACUGGAAAACUUGAGUGCAGAAGAGGAAAGUGGAAUUCCAUGUGUAGCGGUGAAAUGCGCAGAGAUAUGGAGGAACACCAGUGGCGAAGGCGACUUUCUGGUCUGUAACUGACGCUGAUGUGCGAAAGCGUGGGGAUCAAACAGGAUUAGAUACCCUGGUAGUCCACGCCGUAAACGAUGAGUGCUAAGUGUUAGAGGGUUUCCGCCCCUUAGUGCUGCAGCUAACGCAUUAAGCACUCCGCCUGGGGAGUACGACCGCAAGGUUGAAACUCAAAGGAAUUGACGGGGACCCGCACAAGCGGUGGAGCAUGUGGUUUAAUUCGAAGCAACGCGAAGAACCUUACCAAAUCUUGACAUCCUUUGACAACUCUAGAGAUAGAGCCUUCCCCUUCGGGGGGGCAAAGUGACAGGUGGUGCAUGGUUGUCGUCAGCUCGUGUCGUGAGAUGUUGGGUUAAGUCCCGCAACGAGCGCAACCCUUAAGCUUAGUUGCCAUCAUUAAGUUGGGCACUCUAAGUUGACUGCCGGUGACAAACCGGAGGAAGGUGGGGAUGACGUCAAAUCAUCAUGCCCCUUAUGAUUUGGGCUACACACGUGCUACAAUGGACAAUACAAAGGGCAGCGAAACCGCGAGGUCAAGCAAAUCCCAUAAAGUUGUUCUCAGUUCGGAUUGUAGUCUGCAACUCGACUACAUGAAGCUGGAAUCGCUAGUAAUCGUAGAUCAGCAUGCUACGGUGAAUACGUUCCCGGGUCU